rnacentral:rRNA from 1 species
GGUACCCCAAACCGACACAGGUGGUCAGGUAGAGAAUACCAAGGCGCUUGAGAGAACUCGGGUGAAGGAACUAGGCAAAAUGGUGCCGUAACUUCGGGAGAAGGCACGCUGAUAUGUAGGUGAGGUCCCUCGCGGAUGGAGCUGAAAUCAGUCGAAGAUACCAGCUGGCUGCAACUGUUUAUUAAAAACACAGCACUGUGCAAACACGAAAGUGGACGUAUACGGUGUGACGCCUCCCCGGUGCCGGAAGGUUAAUUGAUGGGGUUAGCGCAAGCGAAGCUCUUGAUCGAAGCCCCGGUAAACGGCGGCCGUAACUAUAACGGUCCUAAGGUAGCGAAAUUCCUUGUCGAGUAAGUUCCGACCUGCACGAAUGGCGUAAUGAUGGCCAGGCUGUCUCCACCCGAGACUCAGUGAAAUUGAACUCGCUGUGAAGAUGCAGUGUACCCGCGGCAAGACGGAAAGACCCCGUGAACCUUUACUAUAGCUUGACACUGAACAUUGAGCCUUGAUGUGUAGGAUAGGUGGGAGGCUUUGAAGUGUGGACGCCAGUCUGCAUGGAGCCGACCUUGAAAUACCACCCUUUAAUGUUUGAUGUUCUAACGUUGACCCGUAAUCCGGGUUGCGGACAGUGUCUGGUGGGUAGUUUGACUGGGGCGGUCUCCUCCUAAAGAGUAACGGAGGAGCACGAAGGUUGGCUAAUCCUGGUCGGACAUCAGGAGGUUAGUGCAAUGGCAUAAGCCAGCUUGGCUGCGAGCGUGACGGCGCGAGCAGGUGCGAAAGCAGGUCAUAGUGAUCCGGUGGUUCUGAAUGGAAGGGCCAUCGCUCAACGGAUAAAAGGUACUCCGGGGAUAACAGGCUGAUACCGCCCAAGAGUUCAUAUCGACGGCGGUGUUUGGCACCUCGAUGUCGGCUCAUCACAUCCUGGGGCUGAAGUAGGUCCCAAGGGUAUGGCUGUUCGCCAUUUAAAGUGGUACGCGAGCUGGAUUUAGAACGUCGUGAGACAGUUCGGUCCCUAUCUGCCGUGGGCGCUGAGAACUGAGGGGGCCUGCUCCUAGUACGAGAGGACCGGAGUGGACGCAUCACUGGUGUUCGGGUUGUCAUGCCAAUGGCACUGCCCGGUAGCUAAAUGCGGAAGAGAUAAGUGCUGAAAGCAUCUAAGCACGAAACUUGCCCCGAGAUGAGUUCUCCCUGACCCUUUAAGGGUCCUGAAGGAACGUUGAGGACGACGACGUUGAUAGGCCGGGUGUGUAAGCGCAGCGAUGCGUUGAGCUAACCGGUACUAAUGAACCGUGAGGCUUAACCU